GACCUCGGAUCGGGUAGGGAUACCCGCUGAACUUAAGCAUAUCAAUAAGCGGAGGAAAAGAAACCAACAGGGAUUGCCUUAGUAACGGCGAGUGAAGCGGCAACAGCUCAAAUUUGAAAUCUGGCUCUUUCAGGGUCCGAGUUGUAAUUUGUAGAAGAUGCUUCGGGUGUGGUACCGGUCUAAGUUCCUUGGAACAGGACGUCAUAGAGGGUGAGAAUCCCGUAUGUGACUGGUCACCUUCGCUCAUGUGAAGCUCUUUCGACGAGUCGAGUUGUUUGGGAAUGCAGCUCAAAAUGGGUGGUAAAUUUCAUCUAAAGCUAAAUAUUGGCCAGAGACCGAUAGCGCACAAGUAGAGUGAUCGAAAGAUGAAAAGCACUUUGGAAAGAGAGUUAAACAGUACGUGAAAUUGUUGAAAGGGAGGCGC
rnacentral:rRNA from 1 species